rnacentral:rRNA from 1 species
UCGCAUCUACCGAUUGGAUGGUCCGGUGAAGCCUCGGGAUUGUGGUCAGGUUCCUUCAUUGGGAGUUGGUUGCGAGAACUUGUCUAAACCUUAUCAUUUAGAGGAAGGUG